AGCGAACGCUGGCGGCAGGCCUAAUACAUGCAAGUCGAACGGCUCUUCGGAGCAGUGGCGGACGGGUGAGUAACGCGUGGGAAUGUGCCUUUAGGUACGGAACAACACAGGGAAACUUGUGCUAAUACCGUAUGUGCCCUUCGGGGGAAAGAUUUAUCGCCUUUGGAGCAGCCCGCGUUGGAUUAGGUAGUUGGUGAGGUAAGGGCUCACCAAGCCGACGAUCCAUAGCUGGUCUGAGAGGAUGACCAGCCACACUGGGACUGAGACACGGCCCAGACUCCUACGGGAGGCAGCAGUAGGGAAUCUUGCGCAAUGGGCGAAAGCCUGACGCAGCCAUGCCGCGUGUAUGAUGAAGGUCUUAGGAUUGUAAAAUACUUUCUCCGGGGAAGAUAAUGACGGUACCCGGAGAAGAAGCCCCGGCUAACUUCGUGCCAGCCGCCGCCGUAAUAC
rnacentral:rRNA from 1 species